rnacentral:lncRNA from 7 species
CCUUUUUAGUAUUUUUACUUAUUAUUAGGGGUUCUCUUGUUAUCUAAUGAGAACACAAUUGUAUAUUCUGCAGAUCUCCUGCUUAUCGAUCAAGGUCCCCACCUGCGAAACGAAGAGCAUAUGACUAAUCGAGAACCCUCUGUUAUGCCAUAUAUGGCCUAGGAACACCCUGUAGCAAGAACUUACUGUACCUGUACCGGAGCGUCACCUUAAUGUCCUUAAAUUCCCGUGUUUAAUGGUCUGUACAUGGUUAUGCUAUGCGACUGUCAGGUUUCACUGCAUGCAAUAUUGUCAUUUGGCUGCUACCCUUUGUUUGGCCUUGGGAUGCUCGAUCUCUAUUUU